GACGAACGCUGGCGGCGUGCUUAACACAUGCAAGUCGAACGCUGAACCCGCUUCGGUGGGGGAUGAGUGGCGAACGGGUGAGUAACACGUGGGCAACCUGCCCCCGGCUCUGGGAUAACUCCAAGAAAUUGGGGCUAAUACCGGAUGUGACCGCUGGCCGCAUGGUCUGGUGGUGGAAAGGGUUUCCGGCUGGGGAUGGGCCCGCGGCCUAUCAGCUUGUUGGUGGGGUAGUGGCCUACCAAGGCGACGACGGGUAGCCGGCCUGAGAGGGUGACCGGCCACACUGGGACUGAGACACGGCCCAGACUCCUACGGGAGGCAGCAGUGGGGAAUAUUGCGCAAUGGGCGGAAGCCCGACGCAGCGACGCCGCGUGGGGGAUGACGGCCUUCGGGUUGUAAACCUCUUUCAGCAGGGACGAAGCGCAAGUGACGGUACCUGCAGAAGAAGCACCGGCCAACUACGUG
rnacentral:rRNA from 1 species